GCGCAGCGAGAGGUGCUUGCACCUUUCAAGCGAGUGGCGAACGGGUGAGUAACACGUGGAUAACCUGCCUCAAGGCUGGGGAUAACAUUUGGAAACAGAUGCUAAUACCGAAUAAAACUUAGUAUCGCAUGAUAUCAAGUUAAAAGGCGCUACGGCGUCACCUAGAGAUGGAUCCGCGGUGCAUUAGUUAGUUGGUGGGGUAAAGGCUUACCAAGACGAUGAUGCAUAGCCGAGUUGAGAGACUGAUCGGCCACAUUGGGACUGAGACACGGCCCAAACUCCUACGGGAGGCUGCAGUAGGGAAUCUUCCACAAUGGGCGCAAGCCUGAUGGAGCAACGCCGCGUGUGUGAUGAAGGCUUUCGGGUCGUAAAGCACUGUUGUAUGGGAAGAAAUGCUAAAAUAGGGAAUGAUUUUAGUUUGACGGUACCAUACCAGAAAGGGACGGCUAAAUACGUGCCAGCAGCCGCGGUAAUACGUAUGUCCCGAGCGUUAUCCGGAUUUAUUGGGCGUAAAGCGAGCGCAGACGGUUGAUUAAGUCUGAUGUGAAAGCCCGGAGCUCAACUCCGGAAUGGCAUUGGAAACUGGUUAACUUGAGUGUUGUAGAGGUAAGUGGAACUCCAUGUGUAGCGGUGGAAUGCGUAGAUAUAUGGAAGAACACCAGUGGCGAAGGCGGCUUACUGGACAACAACUGACGUUGAGGCUCGAAAGUGUGGGUAGCAAACAGGAUUAGAUACCCUGGUAGUCCACACCGUAAACGAUGAAUACUAGGUGUUAGGAGGUUUCCGCCUCUUAGUGCCGAAGCUAACGCAUUAAGUAUUCCGCCUGGGGAGUACGACCGCAAGGUUGAAACUCAAAGGAAUUGACGGGGACCCGCACAAGCGGUGGAGCAUGUGGUUUAAUUCGAAGCAACGCGAAGAACCUUACCAGGUCUUGACAUCCUUUGAAGCUUUUAGAGAUAGAAGUGUUCUCUUCGGAGACAAAGUGACAGGUGGUGCAUGGUCGUCGUCAGCUCGUGUCGUGAGAUGUUGGGUUAAGUCCCGCAACGAGCGCAACCCUUAUUGUUAGUUGCCAGCAUUCAGUUGGGCACUCUAGCGAGACUGCCGGUGACAAACCGGAGGAAGGCGGGGACGACGUCAGAUCAUCAUGCCCCUUAUGACCUGGGCUACACACGUGCUACAAUGGCGUAUACAACGAGUUGCCAACCUGCGAAGGUGAGCUAAUCUCUUAAAGUACGUCUCAGUUCGGACUGCAGUCUGCAACUCGACUGCACGAAGUCGGAAUCGCUAGUAAUCGCGGAUCAGCACGCCGCGGUGAAUACGUUCCCGGGUCUUGUACACACCGCCCGUCACACCAUGGGAGUUUGUAAUGCCCAAAGCC
rnacentral:rRNA from 1 species